AUUGAACGCUGGCGGCAGGCCUAACACAUGCAAGUCGAGCGGUAGAGAGAAGCUUGCUUCUCUUGAGAGCGGCGGACGGGUGAGUAAAGCCUAGGAAUCUGCCUGGUAGUGGGGGAUGACGUUCGGAAACGGACGCUAAUACCGCAUACGUCCUACGGGAGCAAGCAGGGGAUCUUCGGGUCUUGCGCUAUCAGAUGCGCCUAGGUCGGAUUAUCUAGUUGGUGAGGUAAUGGCUCACCAAGGCGACGAUCCGUAACUGGUCUGAGAGGAUGAUCAGUCACACUGGAACUGAGACACGGUCUAGACUCCUACGGGAGGCAGUAGUGGGGAAUAUUGGACAAUGGGCGAAAGCCUGAUCCAGCCAUGCCGCGUGUGUGAAGAAGGUCUUCGGAUUGUAAAGCACUUUAAGUUGGGAGGAAGGGCAUUAACCUAAUACGUUAGUGUUUUGACGUUACCGACAGAAUAAGCACCGGCUAACUCUGUGCCAGCCGCCGCGGUAA
rnacentral:rRNA from 1 species